UACGAAGGGUGCAAGCGUUACUCGGAAUUACUGGGCGUAAAGGGUGCGUAGGCGGGUUUUUAAGUCAGGGGUGAAAUCCUGGAGCUCAACUCCAGAACUGCCUUUGAUACUGAGGAUCUUGAGUUCGGGAGAGGUGAGUGGAACUGCGAGUGUAGAGGUGAAAUUCGUAGAUAUUCGCAAGAACACCAGUGGCGAAGGCGGCUCACUGGCCCGAUACUGACGCUGAGGCACGAAAGCGUGGGGAGCAAACAGG
rnacentral:rRNA from 1 species